rnacentral:rRNA from 1 species
CCUACGGGAGGCAGCAGUGAGGAAUAUUGGUCAAUGGGCGCAAGCCUGAACCAGCCAUGCCGCGUGCAGGAAGAAUGCCCUACGGGUUGUAAACUGCUUUUAUUUGGGAAUAAACCUUUCUACGUGUAGAAAGCUGAAGGUACCAAUUGAAUAAGCACCGGCUAACUCCGUGCCAGCAGCCGCGGUAAUACGGAGGGUGCAAGCGUUAUCCGGAAUCAUUGGGUUUAAAGGGUCCGCAGGCGGACCUAUAAGUCAGUGGUGAAAGCCUACAGCUUAACUGUAGAACUGCCAUUGAAACUGUAGGUCUUGAAUUCGGUCGAAGUGGGCGGAAUGUGUAGUGUAGCGGUGAAAUGCAUAGAUAUUACACAGAACACCGAUAGCGAAGGCAGCUCACUAGGCCUGGAUUGACGCUCAGGGACGAAAGCGUGGGGAUCAAACAGGAUUAGAUACCCUGGUAGUCCACGCCGUAAACUAUGAUUACUCGUUUUCGGCGAUAUACAGUCGGAGACUAAGCGAAAGUGAUAAGUAAUCCACCUGGGGAGUACGAUCGCAAGGUUGAAAGUUAGUUAAGAAGUUAGAGGCGNGAGAGNGCGACGGACGACGACGAGGGAGGAGG